CAGGACAAGAGGAGGAUGCAUAAAGUUUAGAAUGGCUGCACAAAGCGGUGGUGUUUCCCAACAUGGCAGCGUGUGACUGACUUCAUGGCCUCAUCUCCAGAGGAAGGUUCUGAGCAGGGAAUGAAGACAUCUCUCAGGGCUCAUCAGAAGCAGGAUGAAUGAACACAUGAAGCUUCCUUUUGGAGACUUCCAGAGGAAUGGGCCCUGGCCAGGGCACCUGCUCACAGCCUUCCUUCUGUGCUUCCAACUCCAACUGACACCUGCUGAACUAACCAUCACUCCAAUCCCAUCCAGACCAGUAGAAGGGGAAAACAUCACCCUCUUCGUCCAGGGCUUUAUUGGAGAAGAUCUCAUGUCCUUCAACUGGUUCCGAGGGAGUACCACAGAUCUGGCCCAACAGAUCCUCACCUUUGUAUCCAUGUCUGGCACCCAGUCAAUGGGGAAGGCCUACACUGGGAGAGAGAGAGCAGAGGCUGAUGGCUCCCUGCAUAUUUCCAGCUCCCACCUCAAUGACUCAGGCAUCUAUACUAUUCGCCAGAUCUUCUUUCCAACAGACUCAGGGUCAAAUAUGGUGUCUACAAAUGUCUACUUGCCUGUCUAUGAUGGUCCAGAUCCUCCUGUGCUCCGUCCCGAGGGUUCAGACUUUGUCGUGGGUUCCAACCUCACCCUGUCCUGCUUCGCCAGCUCUAAUCCGGCAGCUCACUACAUUUGGUGGGUCAAUGGGACUGCCGGGCCCUCUGGCCAGCAGCUCUUCAUCCCAAACAUCUCGGGUGGAAAGUCGGAAGUCUAUGCUUGCCAUGCAACCAAUCCCGACUCUGGCCUCCACAGCACAGCAGAAAUAGCAGUCAGUAUAUCAGAGACACUGACCCAGCCAGGUGUUCUGGUCAAUAACUCAGGCCCAGUUGAGAACAAGGACUCAGUCAACCUGACCUGUGUUCCUCCAAAGAGUCUGGUGGCCAUCGUCUGGUUCAAUGAUGGUGAGAUCCUCCUCAGUGGUCGCCAGGGGCUAGGCCUGUCUCCAGACAACAGAAUCCUUACUCUGGAAGUUGUCACCAGGAACGACAGUGACCUUUACCAGUGUGAAGCCAGGAACCCUGAUGUGGCCAGUACCAGAGCCCCAAUCACCCUCAAAGUCAUCUAUGGUCCAGAUAUUCCCAUUGUUACCCCUCCAAACUCUACCUUUGUGGAGGGUUAUGCCCUUACCAUCUCCUGCUUCUCUGACUCCAAUCCUGCUGCUCAGUACACGUGGGAGAUUGAUGGGACACCUGAGCCAUCAACUCAACAUCUCUCCAUCCCUGAUGUCUCUCUGGAUAAUUCAGGUGUGUACACCUGUGAGGCCUCCCACAUCAUCACCCAUCAAAGAAGCACAGCACAGGCAAGGAUCCAGGUGUCGGAAGCUUUCAAUCAAGGCACCAACCAAGCUCUCUAUGGAAAGUCCAUCCCCAGUGGGGCCACUGCAGGAAUUACAAUUGGCAUCCUGGUAGGGGUGGUUUUGACAGGAGCAUUUGGGUACUUUGUUGGUGUCAUGAAGUCCCAGGUCAGUAAUGCUGUGGAAGUCAUCGCAGCAAGUCCCCAACUCAGAUGGCAAGCAAUUUGAUCAGGACCACACAUACAUUAUCAUGUAAAGCCCACUUCCAUAUUGGCACACUCAUGGAAAACCAAAACUCAUCUGAAUCCACGCAACUGAACAGAGAGAGAGUGGCCCCCACUGCCCUGUGACUGCCACAGCUGGGUCGCUGGCCAUUGCCCUUUGUCUGAAGCCAGAGAAGAGCCAAGCCCUUGGAUUCAAGAAGCGGAGAACGGAUGGGUCCAGUUUUUCUAGC